CCUGAAAAUGACAAAUAGAAAUGUGACGUCUUGCUUAGUGAAGUAAUGCAAACAUGAACGAAGUAUCUGCUAGUACUUCGUAAAAAUAGCUAAUACACGUUGCGCAAAUAAAGACACCAUGUACACUUCUAAUACACCUUUAAUAUAAUUGAGUCUAUUAUUUUGAAGAACUAUUUACGAGAAUUCAAACUUUAAAUAUUAGGAAUUAAUCUGAACUGGAUUUGACGAUUUUUUUGGCAAAAUUAUCAAAAUAAAUGACUCAAUUUUUACAUUUUUUUAACUAAAUGUAACGUGAAUUCUUUCUUUAUUUUUGUGAAUUUUCUAAUAUCCCUUUCUUUAAAAGAUUGCUAGAAACGAAUAGAUCAUGAAAAAUCAUUAGAUCAGAUUAAUUUUAGCAUAUGGGAUCUUCGCAUGGGCGAAAAGCAUGAUGUAAAAAUAUAUACUUAACAAAUUAAUUAUAAUUUACAGUUCAAAAGAAGAAGAAUGGAGUGUCAUAUUGGGAUUUCUACUUAUGGAUUUACUCCUGAUUUCCGAUUUUUCCUUGAUUAUGCAAGCUGACAACAAAGCGGGAUCGAGUUAAGCUACACUAGCAGAAGCGUUUAUUUAUAAAUUCUACGCAUGCAGCUCGUCUACAUUCGGAUGCAACUAAGUGUAUAAAACAUGCAAGCGCACGCUCAUCAUGCACGCACACACGCACGCACACAUCGCAAAACAUUAGCAACGCUAUUACAAUAACAGCGAUAAUAUAAUUUAGCGAUGACGGUAAUAAUUUACUUCUAACAAUAGUAGCAACAGUAAUCGUGAUGUACCCUUCACCAAGCAACGGGAACAAAUGACAUGGGCAACGUCAAUUAAUCUUUUGUUGAUUUUUGGUGAACUUGUUUCGUGCGUGACUCAUGUAGCAAUUAUCUCGCAGUAUAAUAAUCGUACAAUAUACUGUGAGCCGUGAUGUUAGUACAUAUGUAUUAAAAAAAAAAAGAUGCGGCGGUACGGUGUGUGAUGCUGCAUAAGUACAUGUAACAAGUGUGGUAUUAAGACAAAAUAAUUACUAAGGCACUAUGUAUAGAAAGAAAAAUAGUUCAAGCAAGGGCAGGUGUACUUCUAUAGCAAACUUACUAUACGUAGACCAUGCUGACUACAAGUGGGGAACUAACUUCAUGUUAAAAAGAGAGAUUAAAAUUAUCAUAAGAUCGAACGUGUAUUGUUUAUCGUAGUGAAAUGACAUUAAGUUAAAACUUAUUAUCAUAAGAAUCUUAUGAUAAGGAACAAUGCCACGUUCGACUAAAAUUCCCUACAGAGGGGUUAUUAUACGACAUAUCUCUCCUUCAAAUCAGUCUUUCAUGACUGAAGAUUGUCGUUUCUACUUGAUGAAUACUCAUGCAUGCUGGGAACUGUGUUGGCAAAGAUACUCUCGGUGGUUUGCCAUUGCCUUCCAAGAGGUGGUGAUCAAUUAAAAAUCUGAUAUAUUCUAGGUGGAUUUAAACUUGGAUUUUGGCAUAGAGAGCAGAUACGCAACUCUUACACCAUGAUCACCAUAUAUGACAUGUACAGAAAGAAAAAACAAUCGGGUGAUGAAGAGAAUAAAUGAUAUAAUAUCAUGCUUCUAUUUCUACUAAACUAUUUCGUAAAAUUAAAGCAAAACAAAAAAAAAUGAUAGCGUUUUCACACUAAUAUUUAGAUGGCUCCGAGAACGAUUACGGAAGUCGUGCGUUGAAUUUCAACGUCUAAUCCAAAUAUAAAAAAGAAAUGUGUUUGUAUGUGUAUACACAUAUACAUACAUAUAUACAUUUAAAUUUUUAUUAUAUACAUAUAUAUAUAUUUAUAUUUAUAUGUAAAAUGAUUAAUUUAACAAAAUAACUAAGAUAAUCUAUUAUGUCCAUAAUCUGAGUUUAUACGAUAGAAAAGUACUAUAUAUUUACAUAUAUACAGAAAAAUUUUGUAUUAUUGAUUAUAUUCAUAUUCUGUACAGUUUUAAUUAUUAGUUCUUCAAUUUUGAAUAAUUUAUGUACAUUUUUUAACUGCUACAUAUGUAUACAAUUAUUUAUACAUAUAUAUAUAAAAACUAUUUACAUUUAUACAAAUAUACAAAUUUUCAAACAAACGCGAAUAGAAAUUAAUCGGUUUCAGAGCACUUUGAUGUAAUCAAAAAUGCUACAGGGAAAAAAAAGAAUAAGAAAACAUAAAAAAGUGGAAAGAGAGAGAGAGAAUAUUCAUUUGAUAAGCUAUUUCUGGUUUUUCGUCAGAUAUAAACUAUUCAUUGAUCUAAAUAUUCUAAGAAAUAGUAAAAAGAAUGAAAGUAUCGGAAAAGAACGGAAACAUAUAUAUAUGUAACUUGCAUAAUUAUAUACAAUACAACUUCCAUUACAACUUACAAUAUAUGUAAAAAAAGGAAGAUGAAUAUUGUAUCGUCGAAAUGAUAAUGGGAAACUUGAUUACCAUUAUCAUUUCGACGAUGCAAAAUUUAUUUUCCUUUUUUUAUGUAUAUUACAAGUUACAUGUGUGUGUGUGUGUGUGUGUGUGUGUGUGUGUGUAAAAUUAUGCAAUUACAUAUAUACAAUCAUUAUAUAUUUAGUAAUAGUAGUGUGAGCAGAUGGCUUUAUACAUUUACUUGGCACAAGUCAUUACUCUUGAUUGUCUCUGGACAUCAUAUUUCUUCUGUGAUUCUUAUUAAAUUGUCAGUUUCAGUGCAAAUAUUAUGUACCGGAUUUCAUGAGAGUGUUUUCUUCCUUCCACUUAAUAUAGCUCUAGAUCCUUAGACCUAAUAUAGCCUUAAGCCUGACAAUUAGUUGGAAAGAGAUGUCUAGUGCUUUAUAUAGUCCCACUCGCUUUCUACUCUGUUAUUACUAAAUAUAUAAUAUAUAAAUUAUAUAUACAUAAUAUAUAUAUAUACAUA